AUGGAGCACCGCGUCCUGUGGGACCUCACGGUGGCCGAGCGCAGGCUGCAAACAUCUGCGCUUGGUGCUGUAGCAGUGUUGCAAUGCUUCCUCUUGGCACUCAGGGGUUGUCAACAGCCAGCACCAGCACAGCCAAACCGUGGAAAAGGAGACGGUUCAUCCAUGCGAGAGGCUUCCUGCGAGCCAAGGACCGGGCAGCUCAGCCCUCAUGCUGUUGUCGCAGUUAUUUAUUUACCUGCACUCAGGUCGUGCCUGGGCUAUCACCACAGCCCCCCGAGCCCCCCAGUAGGGCCAGGGUCUCAAUGGCGACCCCAAAUCAGACCCCAGACCCUGCCUGGAGGGAGAAGGAGGCGGAGAGCAGGGACCAAAGCGGAGCCUGGGGCCGGGAGACCCUUGGGGGCCGCGCCAUGGCCGCUCUCCCCGGGGGCCGUGCUGCGGGUGGGAGCGGCGGCGGCCGGCAGGUGGCCCCCGUGGCCGCCCUCCCCUCACCCCGGGGGGCUGCUGGGGGGCUGCAUUUCCCUGCCUUCCCCUGCCCUGCCGGCCGUGGGCGCCACGGUUCCCCUCUCGGGAGUUGCGGAGGCCGGGGGAGGGCACCCUCCCUCCAUCCAUCCCUCCCUCCCUCCUUCAUCCUGCCGCGGCGAGGGGGAAGGAGGGCGGGCAGCCCCCGCCCGGCUCCCUCCUCCUCCCUUCUUCUUCUCCUCCCUCCCUCCCUGCCUGCCUGCCUGCCUCGGGGCUGGCUUCCUCCCCGGGAAAUGCCCCUCCCGGCCGCUCUCUGAAGAUCCCCAUCCCCUUUUCCCUCCGCUCUCGCACGGCACCCCGGCGCAGGGCCAGCCCUCUUCGCCCUCCUCCUCCUCCUCCUCCUCCUCCUCCUCCUCCUUCUCCCCCGCCCCGCGGCUCGCAUGCUCGCCCGGCCCUGCGGAGGGGCGGCCAGCCGCUGAAGCAGCCCCGCCGCCCGGCAUGGCCGAGGAGAGCUCCGAGCUCCCCCGGGAGCUGAUAGGUGAGGGCCGGGGGUGCCGGGCGGGGGGCACCGGGGGGNNNNNNNNNNUCCGGGGGGGCUCUCCAGUGGGGGUGCAGGCUGGUGGGGGUCCUGGGGGGCUCCCGGGGGUCCCCCGGGGCAGGGACACGCGUGGGGAAGGGCCGGUAGCAGCCCUGCUGUCAGCCUCCAAGCUGCGCCCGGGGGGGGGGGUUACAUGA
rnacentral:lncRNA from 1 species